GGCCCCGCAUGGGGGUAUUUGCUAAAGAUUCAUCGCUGAUAGAUAGGCUAUGCGUUCCAUUAGGCAGUUGGCGGGGUAACGGCCCACCAAACCGACGAUGGAUGGGGGUUCUGAGAGGAAGGUCCCCCACAUUGGUACUGAGACACGGACCAAACUCCUACGGGAGGCAGCAGUGAGGAAUAUUGGUCAAUGGCCGAGAGGCUGAACCAGCCAAGUCGCGUGAGGGAUGAAGGUUCUAUGGAUCGUAAACCUCUUUUAUAAGGGAAUAAAGUGCGGGACGUGUCCCGUUUUGUAUGUACCUUAUGAAUAAGGAUCGGCUAACUCCGUGCCAGCAGCCGCGGUAAUACGGAGGAUCCGAGCGUUAUCCGGAUUUAUUGGGUUUAAAGGGUGCGUAGGCGGCCUUUUAAGUCAGCGGUGAAAGUCUGUGGCUCAACCAUAGAAUUGCCGUUGAAACUGGGGGGCUUGAGUAUGUUUGAGGCAGGCGGAAUGCGUGGUGUAGCGGUGAAAUGCUUAGAUAUCACGCAGAACCCCGAUUGCGAAGGCAGCCUGCCAAGCCAUGACUGACGCUGAUGCACGAAAGCGUGGGGAUCAAACAGGAUUAGAUACCCUGGUAGUCCACGCAGUAAACGAUGAUCACUAGCUGUUUGCGAUACAUUGUAAGCGGCACAGCGAAAGCGUUAAGUGAUCCA
rnacentral:rRNA from 1 species